CGGGGGGGCGGGCCUUACACAUGCAAGUCGAGCGGGGGAGAGUAGCUUGCGUACUUGACCUAGCGGCGGACGGGUGAGUAAUGCUUAGGAAUCUGCCUAUUAGUGGGGGACAACAUCUCGAAAGGGAUGCUAAUACCGCAUACGUCCUACGGGAGAAAGCAGGGGACCUUCGGGCCUUGCGCUAAUAGAUGAGCCUAAGUCGGAUUAGCUAGUUGGUGGGGUAAAGGCCUACCAAGGCGACGAUCUGUAGCGGGUCUGAGAGGAUGAUCCGCCACACUGGGACUGAGACACGGCCCAGACUCCUACGGGAGGCAGCAGUGGGGAAUAUUGGACAAUGGGGGGAACCCUGAUCCAGCCAUGCCGCGUGUGUGAAGAAGGCCUUUUGGUUGUAAAGCACUUUAAGCGAGGAGGAGGCUACCGAGAUUAAUACUCUUGGAUAGUGGACGUUACUCGCAGAAUAAGCACCGGCUAACUCUGUGCCAGCAGCCGCGGUAAUACAGAGGGUGCAAGCGUUAAUCGGAUUUACUGGGCGUAAAGCGCGCGUAGGUGGCCAAUUAAGUCAAAUGUGAAAUCCCCGAGCUUAACUUGGGAAUUGCAUUCGAUACUGGUUGGCUAGAGUAUGGGAGAGGA
rnacentral:rRNA from 1 species